GAUGAACGCUGGCGGCGUGCCUAAUGCAUGCAAGUCGAGCGAACUGAUUAGAAGCUUGCUUCUAUGACGUUAGCGGCGGACGGGUGAGUAACACGUGGGCAACCUGCCUGUAAGACUGGGAUAACUUCGGGAAACCGAAGCUAAUACCGGAUAGGAUCUUCUCCUUCAUGGGAGAUGAUUGAAAGAUGGUUUCGGCUAUCACUUACAGAUGGGCCCGCGGUGCAUUAGCUAGUUGGUGAGGUAACGGCUCACCAAGGCAACGAUGCAUAGCCGACAGGAGAGGGGGAUCGGCCACACUGGGACUGAGACACGGCCCAGACUCCUACGGGAGGCAGCAGUAGGGAAUCUUCCGCAAUGGACGAAAGUCUGACGGAGCAACGCCGCGUGAGUGAUGAAGGCUUUCGGGUCGUAAAACUCCGUUGUUAGGGAAGAAUAAGUGCAAGAGUAACUGCUUGUACCUUGACGGUACCUAACCAGAAAGCCACGGCUAACUACGUGCCAGCCGCCGCAGUAAAAC
rnacentral:rRNA from 1 species